GCUCAGAUGCUUCAGAAGUAGUUAUCAACAUAAAAAGCUUUACUUUUCAAGACUGAUUCAAAGACAUGCAUGCUAAGGGCUAAAACAGAAAGUGGAGACUUGUCAUUGUUGCAAGCUCACGUACCGUUUUGAUAGAGUAUCCUACCCUGGCUUGGAAGUGACGGCCUCAGCACUUUCCUCAUCAGAGAAACCUCUCGGAGUUUCCUUGGUGCCCAGUGAGAGCAAUCCAGCCUGCUUGUGCUAAAACUUGGGUGAUACGCUGAUGGACCAAAGACACUGCAACAUCUGUGUAUGCAGAUAGCGCCUUUGCGAUGUUAUAGGCUGAUG
rnacentral:lncRNA from 1 species